ACUUAACCUCAAAUGUUUAUUGCAUUUCAAACAGCAUUUUUCAAAACAAAGAACUCAUUACAACAUAUAUAGGUACUGGACCAUCCAAACCCUUUCAUUUGGUAUGUCUCCAGCAUAAGAAUCUAACACGAAUCAUUUUGAAAUACAACAUAUCUACACUAAAAAGAAAAGACAUCACCCUGUCUCUUGACGAGAAAUCAGAUCCACGUGGAAAAAUCUAUAGGGAAAAAAAAAUAUUAAAUUAUCAGUCUCAACUUCUGAAUAAAUAAACAAUUUUCCUGCAGUGGAAUGUUUUCACUCAAAUAAACGAUCAGAUCUCACAUGCCUGCUUAAAUAUGUCUGACUUUGGUCCUUACAAAAUGACAAGACCUCAGUAUGAUAAACCAGAUGAUAGUUUAAAGCGAGACAAUGAGGCAUUGUUUACAGAGAAGAUUGAGAAACUGGUUUAACAAAAGGGGUCCGUGGACAUCUAUUGUAUGUACAAGAAGGAGAUUUACUGGAGAUUUUGUAAUUUCUACAAGGCUCUUUCCAACCAGCUUCAUUAACUUGAAGUAAAUCAAAUCAUGCAGAGAUCUGGCUCAGCCAGAGAGACAUGCCGGGAAAGAUACAAAAUGAAGAAGAACAGACGCAAGAUGAUAAGCUUCAGAAUCUUUGGCAUUUUUCAUAAACAUCUUCAAGGUUUUUAAAUCUGUAUAUUCACCCAUUUUCCCACACACACUCGCCUAUAAAUACAUUAUACAUGUACUCUUCUUUAUACACAACUUUGUAUAUGCAUGGGUACACAAGCACACGUGCACACAAAGAGGCGUUUUUGUGGCUUUUAGACCAAGAUAAUGUUUUUUCUAUCCUUUCCAUUCGCAGCUACACAUAUCUUUGCAUGAGCAAAACACAUUCCUUCUCCAAUCAAGUCUAUGAAAGUGUGCCUCUUUCAUUCAAAGGCACAGUGGGGCUCAUUACUUUGAAAAAUAAACUUCUUGAAAAAUCAGUGAAUCUGGGUAAUAAUCCAGUGGAAGAUACUCUGGUGUUAAUUUGCCUUCCUCAAACUCACGCAACAGGCCCACAAGACUGAGUUACUGAACCACACAGCACGACUCCAUUUGGAUCACUGAUCUAUAAGCAAGGUUUUACCCAUUUUACCUUUAAUUAGAUGAAUUCCAAAAUAAUCUUUUGGUAAAACUAAACCUGCCUCUCAGGAUUCUCUACUUCUUUGUACUGUGAACUACCCCAGGGGAUGCUGGUGGUAACCCCUGCCUGGGAACCACAAGCAGCAACUCCAGCUCUCCUGCUACCAAUGACCUGUGGUGACAAAUUGCUCCCACGAUGUCCUCCAGCACCUAAAGGACUGAGGGCUACACUCUCACCAAAAUUAAGCUGGUUUACAUAGGAUUCUGUGUUUCAGUUUCCCCAGUCAAACAACAUGAAUAAUGCUGGAUAUCUGAAUUAUAUAAAGCAAAAGCACAGUAGCCAAAAGAUUGGUAAGCAAGCAAGAAAUCACAUUCUCGUCAGAAUAGAAAAUGGGGUCCUUUCUUCUGUCUCUUCAUUGCUCAGUUUCCAUAUGACUUCAUUUUCUGAUCCUCUCCUUGUGAGCUACCAGGAAAGAGUCCAAAACAUCAGUGGUGGACCAAAGCCUGUACACUAUUGCACAACCACAUCUUCAGGCAUUGUGCUGCCUUUUGCACAAGCGCUCGUCUCUUUAAGGCUAUGAUGUGUUUUUUCUCCUGGAUCCGUAGUGUUGACCCCUCUGGAUUUAGACAGGAAAACAACAGCUACGCUGAAAACAUCUGAUGAGAUGGAAUUAUAAAGGGCAAGUCAACAGAGUCUUUUCAGGUCAGUGAGUUAGGCUUUUCUACAGUCUCUUAAUCCUUUUACAGCAGAAGGUUCUCAUGCAUCCAUUGCCAGCAAUGGAUCUCUGAUGAUUCCAGUAUCCAAAGAGUUAACCAUAAGGUAGGCUUUAAAAUAAGAAGGGGAAAAAAAAAAAAAAGGGAAAAAAAACCCCACAAGUGCUGGAUGAAAUAUUGAGAUACUGCUGGAGCUCCUCGCUCUUUCUGCUAAUUAUGAUAAAAAACUUCUUAAAAUGUACACUGCUUGAACAGAAGAUGGGUAUCAAAGACUCGUUAAUUCAGAGCUUAAACCUUCCUAGGCACAGUGAUUUAACUCUGAAAAGAAUAGCUUUCAUAUCUUAAUGUAAAUCUGUUGGAUAUGUUAAAAACUGGUUCAGAGCAUCUCCUCAAAUCAGCUCAGCUGAUCUGCUACACUAAGCGGAAUUAUCUCUUCCUACAUAAAACAGGGAGAGCUGCCACAUCCAGCCUUGCCUCUGCUAUC
ensembl:lncRNA